AAUAGAUACCCUGGUAGUCCACGCCGUAAACGAUGGAUACUAGCUGUUGGGCGCAAGUUCAGUGGCUAAGCGAAAGUGAUAAGUAUCCCACCUGGGGAGUACGAACGCAAGUUUGAAACUCAAAGGAAUUGACGGGGGCCCGCACAAGCGGUGGAGCAUGUGGUUUAAUUCGAUGAUACGCGAGGAACCUUACCAAGGCUUAAAUGCAGACUGACCGGUUUGGAAACAGACCUUUCGCAAGACAGUCUACAAGGUGCUGCAUGGUUGUCGUCAGCUCGUGCCGUGAGGUGUCAGGUUAAGUCCUAUAACGAGCGCAACCCCUGUUGCUAGUUGCCAGCGAGUCAUGUCGGGAACUCUAGCAAGACUGCCAGUGCAAACUGUGAGGAAGGUGGGGAUGACGUCAAAUCAUCACGGCCCUUACGCCUUGGGCUACACACGUGCUACAAUGGCCGGUACAGAGAGCAGCCACCCCGGCGAGGGGGAGCGAAUCUAUAAAGCCGGUCACAGUUCGGAUCGGAGUCUG
rnacentral:rRNA from 1 species